AUUGAACGCUGGCGGCAGGCCUAACACAUGCAAGUCGAGCGGAUGAGGAGAGCUUGCUCUCUGAUUCAGCGGCGGACGGGUGAGUAAUGCCUAGGAAUCUGCCUGGUAGUGGGGGACAACGUUUCGAAAGGAACGCUAAUACCGCAUACGUCCUACGGGAGAAAGUGGGGGAUCUUCGGACCUCACGCUAUCAGAUGAGCCUAGGUACGAUUAGCUAGUUGGUGAGGUAAAGGCUCACCAAGGCGACGAUCGUUAACUGGUCUGAGAGGACGAUCAGUCACACUGGAACUGAGACACGGUCCAGACUCCUACGGGAGGCAGCAGUGGGGAAUAUUGGACAAUGGGCGAAAGCCUGAUCCAGCCAUGCCGCGUGUGUGAAGAAGGUCUUCGGAUUGUAAAGCACUUUAAGUUGGGAGGAAGGGCAGUAAGUUAAUACCUUGCUGUUUUGACGUUACCGACAGAAUAAGCACCGGCUAACUUCGUGCCAGCCGCCGCCGUAAAAC
rnacentral:rRNA from 1 species